AGAGAUAUAGUUUAAGUAAUAGAGCACUUGCCUAGUAAGCAUGAAGCCCUGAAUUCAAACUUCUGUACCGCCA
rnacentral:tRNA from 1 species